GUGGGGAAUUUUGGACAAUGGGCGCAAGCCUGAUCCAGCAAUGCCGCGUGCAGGAAGAAGGCCUUCGGGUUGUAAACUGCUUUUGUACGGAACGAAACGGUCCGGGUUAAUACCCUGGGCUAAUGACGGUACCGUAAGAAUAAGCACCGGCUAACUACGUGCCAGCAGCCGCGGUAAUACGUAGGGUGCAAGCGUUAAUCGGAAUUACUGGGCGUAAAGCGUGCGCAGGCGGUUUUGUAAGACAGGCGUGAAAUCCCCGGGCUCAACCUGGGAAUUGCGCUUGUGACUGCAAGGCUGGAGUGCGGCAGAGGGGGAUGGAAUUCCGCGUGUAGCAGUGAAAUGCGUAGAUAUGCGGAGGAACACCGAUGGCGAAGGCAAUCCCCUGGGCCUGCACUGACGCUCAUGCACGAAAGCGUGGGGAGCAAACAGGAUUAGAAACCCUAGUAGUCC
rnacentral:rRNA from 1 species